rnacentral:lncRNA from 1 species
UGGAAGAGUAGCAGUAAUACCUGUAGGUAUAUUUAUAGUAAGAGAAGAGUUAUUAUAAUUUAAUAUGAGUGAAUCGUGAAAAGAGGAAGAGGAAGAGGCUUGGAUGGUAGGUGGUGGAGGACAGAAAAUCAGGGGGAAGAGGAGGAUCACGAAAGCAUCGGUUAUCCAGUAAUUGUACCAUAGCGUGUUCAAGGCAGACGCUAAUGGCAACGAUGCAAAUACCGAUACCGUGUUCUAAUGCUAGUGAUUUCAAGCUACGAUCAAAGUUUUAAAACAUACGUGUGAUGUGUUUUACGUGCACACUGAACCCAACACACGUAUAUGUAUAACAUAUAUACAACACCAGUCGAUUCUAUAAUACGCCUCGUUUUACUAAUUUUUUGUCGCUAGUUGUUAUUAUUUAAGUAUUUUUAUUUUUUAACACUACCGUUCCAUAUUUGAGGCAGGUAUGUCUUUCGACACCUGCCUAUAUGAUACUUAUUCCCGGCGGGCAUAAAACCCUAAUUUUCUCCUCGGCCAACAUCCGAAAAAUACCGCGAAUAUUGAGAGACGUUUAUUCAGUGAUAAAAAAAAAAAAAAAAAAGUUCGAGAGUUAAAAAAAGAUAAAAUGUAAUUUGAACGGUAAUUUGGCGAUGUUAUUUUGUAUUUAAAUUAAUAAGGAUGUGUAAUAAGCUCAUUUGAAGUAAUUGGAUGAUGAGAAUUGUCUCCCGAGAACUUCGCAGGGUCAGUUUAGUGUGAGUUGAAGCUUACUUCCUCUGCUAUAUGAUACCAAGGAAUAUUACAUUACACAUUUAUAGGCUGAGAAAAAAAAACCACGGUUCGAAUGAGAUAACAAUGCCUGAGGGGCUCCUACGACAUCAUUUUCGCAAACUUCGUUUGGUAGCGCUCUACUUUUACUACUACGCUUUGACUACUACUAUUAUGAAAACUACAGCAGCAGCAGCAGCAGCUACUUCCAUUACUACAACUACUACUAGUACAACUACAUUGGCGGUCACCGGCGCACCGUCUGUUCGACAAUUAUUAGCCAUUGUCCCGCGAUAAAUUCUCCCGGGGCCAAAUUACCUUGCACAGCCUCUUGUACCUUGUUCCCAAGACACUUAUCUCUCCCUUUCGACAGCCAAGCGCCGGCCUCAGGCUGGAUUAAAAGAGAACUCGAGAAUCCGAGACCAGAAAGAAGAGAGAAAUAGAAGUAGACAAUGAAGGGAGUGUCAGUGAGCAGAGUUGUCUGCAAUUAUUUCAUCCUCUUGUUUUGUUGGUUCGAUGAAACCUCUAAACUAUUAAAAAUAAUGAAGCACUUGUGAAAAGUAUUCAUAUCUAUAGAUUUAGAGAAUAAUAGCAAAUCAAUAAUUAGGAAAUUAAUGCCCUUGAAUAUUUUACUCAAUUCUUUAUUUCAAAUUUACCAAAAAUUGAGAGUAAAUAUCAAAGAUUAAAAAAAAAAAAAUGAUUACGGAUUAAUUUAUUUGCAGAUUAACUUUAGAGAUUUAUAACUUCAAUCUCAAGCCAUGCAUCAAAAUUCGCCAUAAUCACAAUAUUUUUUCACAAGUAAUUAUGAUUAAAUUUUAUCGAUAGAAUAAAUAUUUACAAUGAGUUGAAAAUAUAACGGGAAGCAGCAGACCUCCGAUUCAAUUACGUUCAAUUUGCUGAAAUGCUGUUCGGUUAAUGAUUCGAGCUUCGGGCUCUUAGUUUCAACAAAUAUUAGUCCAUCAUACAUAUAUGAAAUCGGACGGUAACAGUUAUACAGAAAACAGAUAAAAGUUUUCAACUGCUCUCAAGCACCGUAUUUAGAUAAUUAAAUUAAAAAGUCAACAAGUUGCUCGAAGAAACUUUGUUAUUUGAGAUUCUUUAUUCUACAAGUAAUGUCAAAAACAAUGAAUGUCUUUUUAUUUUGUUAAUUCAACAAUGCAGUAAAUAUUGAAACUACCGUUUAAUUUUUAAACUCAUACAAGUCAAGUUUUGAGUAGUUUAUUGUUCUUUAUUCUUUCUUACUUAUAUAUUUUCUUGUUUGGAUUUCGAAUUGAAGAUCCGUGUUUAAUCCCCAGUUCGGGCUAUUUUUUAUUUUUUUGUUAAUGGACAUGUUUCUGCGGUCAAU